CCUACGGGUGGCAGCAGUGAGGAAUAUUGGUCAAUGGACGAGAGUCUGAACCAGCCAAGUAGCGUGAAGGAUGACUGCCCUAUGGGUUGUAAACUUCUUUUAUAUGGGAAUAAAACGUUCCACGUGUGGGAUUUUGUAUGUACCAUAUGAAUAAGGAUCGGCUAACUCCGUGCCAGCAGCCGCGGUAAUACGGAGGAUCCGAGCGUUAUCCGGAUUUAUUGGGUUUAAAGGGAGCGUAGGUGGAUUGUUAAGUCAGUUGUGAAAGUUUGCGGCUCAACCGUAAAAUUGCAGUUGAGACUGGCAGUCUUGAGUACAGUAGAGGUGGGCGGAAGGCGUGGUGUAGCGGUGAAAUGCUUAGAUAUCACGAAGAACUCCGAUUGCGAAGGCAGUUCACUGGACUGCAACUGACACUGAGGCUCGAAAGUGUGGGUAUCAAACAGGAUUAGAUACCCGUGUAGUC
rnacentral:rRNA from 1 species